rnacentral:rRNA from 1 species
GACCCAUCAUUUUGCAAUGAAAACAACAUAUAAAACUCUGGACAAUUUCGAAAUCAGGCCAAGCGUCUUAAUACAUAUGCAAAAAAAUGCAUUAUUGGCCCACCAUUGAUUAGAAGAUUUAGCUUGUAUGAAUCGCUAUUGGUUUGA